ACCAGGAAUCUAACAUUGUCUCUUGGCUCAGCUGGGUUUUCAUCUCAUCAAGCUCCCCAUUGGGUGGUGGAGAUCCAGGAACUAUAAGAUCCCUUUUUCCUACUCAGUAGUGACUUGGAAAGAAAUAUCCAACCACCCACAAGAUUUCACCAGAAGUCCCAGUACUGAAUUUCAUUGGCUCAACUAGGAGCACAUGUUAUAACCAAGCCAAUCUCCUGGCCUGGGGAGUGGACUGCUGUCAUUGGCCGGGUUGGAGAAUGUGGGAGGAGUCAGCACAAAUUUAUCUAAUCUUAUUCUGGGCCAUUAGGAGUUUCCAAACCUUGGUAGGCUGCAUUUCAGGUGUCUGAGAUGGGGAGGCCAUGGAAAAAGAGAAAGGUCAGAAGUUACAUUUGAGAAGUUCAGUUUAGGGCCAAGUGAGUUUGAGAUGCCUCCCAGGCAUCACGUGGUGCCACUGAGUCAUCAACUGGAUAUGAGACAUGCAUUUACCUGAUGUCUUGGUGGCUCAUUUUUUUAAAUUGAUUUUAUGGAAAUGUAAUUUCAUUUCCUUUUGAAGGGUACAAUUGAGAAGUCUAAUUAUUAUGAGGCAUAAUCUCUCUAUUUGGAGUUAAUUGACUACUUUUUUUUUCCCUUUCAUUGUCUUUCUGAGAAGUUCUGCCAGUUUAUCUCAAUUCAACUUUUCAAAAGAUAAAUUCUGCCAGAUAAUCUAUAGAUAGCAUUCUGUUUUUCUUCUGGGUUCUUUUUCCUAGGAAAUUCCUCCAGCCACCCUCCCAGGAUUUUCUUCCUCUCUCUCCUAUGUUGAGAUCCCUGUUUCCCUCCAUCUCAGGUCUUAUGUUUUCUUUGUUUACCCAUCAAUUUUUGCAGAGCCCAUCCUGCAGUAACUUUCUGAGAACAUAGGAGCAUGAGCAAUAACAUUUUUGAGCCCUUCCAUGCUUUGAAAUGCUUUACUUGCUCCUCACACUUGAUCAAUAUUUUGGCUGGAAAUAGUAGUCUGGAUUGAAAAUCCUUUUCUGUCAGAAUUUUGAUUCCAUAAACCCCUUGUCUCUUUGGGGUUUUUCUUUGUUUGCUUGUUUUUAUUUUUUGUUUCUGUUUUUGCGUGUUUAGGGUUGCACCUUAGGCAUUUGGAUGUUCCCAGGCUAGGGGGGUGGAAUAGGAGCUGCAGCUGCCGGCCUGUGACUACAGCCAUAGUGACACAGGAUCCAAGUCCCAUGUGCAACCUACACAAGAAGCUUGUGACAAUACUGAAUCCAUAACCCACUGAGAGAGGCCAGGGAUUGAACCUGCAUCCUCAUGGACACCACUCAGGUUUGUAACCCACUGAGCCACAACAGGAACUCCCUAAAUCUUUUUUUAAUGAGGAUAUAAGACAGUAACUCCGGAUUUGUUUUUUUAAACUUUACUGGGGUGUCAUUGACAUGCAACACAGUGCACAUCCGCCAGAUGUUCCAGUUCCUCUGCAUCUUCACCAGCACUUGAUAAAGUCAGUCUUUUUCAUUUUGGCUGUUCUGGCUGAUUUGCAGUGGUAUCUGAUUGUUAUGCUAGUUUGCAUUUUCAUGAAGGCUAGUUGUGAGAAUCUUUUCAUGUGCUUGUUUGAAAUUCAUUUGUCUUUUGUGAAGAGACUGUACAAUUUUUUUUUUUUUUUUUUUUUUUGGCUAAUGCAUGCAGUGACUUGGUGGAGGAUCACAGUUCGCAGAUCAGGGAUAGAGCCCAGGCCUCAGUGAUGAAACUCCCAAACUAGACUACUAGGAAACUUGUGAGAUCAUACAAAUCUUUUGCUUGUAUAUUUUUCUUUUCUUUUUAAGAAUGCACCUCUGGCAUAUGGAAGUUCCCAGGCUAGGGGUAGAAUUGGAGCUGCAGCUGAGGCCUUGCCACAGCCUCGGCAACACCAGAAACUUAACUUCACCACUGGGUAAGGCCAGGGAUCUAAACUGCAUCUUCUCUGACAUCAUGUCGGGUUCUUAACCUGUUGAGCCACAACAGGAACACAGUGCCUGUGUUUUUACUAUGUUGCUUUCUAUGCUUUAUUUUUAUUUUUCAAUUUUUUUUUGGUCUUUUCUAGGGUCACACCUGCAGCAUAUGUAGGUUCCCAGGCUAGGGGUCUAAUCGGAGCUGUAGCUGCCGGCCUACGCCAGAGCCACAGCAACGCAGGAUCCAAGCCUCAUUUGCGACCUAUACCUCAGCUCACAGCAACACUGGAUCCUUAACCUGCUAAGCGAGGCCAGGGAUCAAACCUGAAACCUCAUGGUACCUAGUCAGAUUCGUUAACCACUGAGCCAGACAGGAACUCCUCUAUGCUUUAUUAUUAUUAUUAUUUAUUUAUUUAUUUUUUUGUGUGCCCACUGCAGAAGUUCCCAGACUAGGGAUCAAACCUUCACUACAGCAGUGACAACACUAGGUCAUUUGACUGCUAGGCAACCAGGGAACUCUUCUGAAUUUUAAAUGUAUGAUGACUUUGAAAAUUACCACUGGGAAUAACAAUAGCUCCCUUGUUGUAUGACCUCUAUUUCUUAUUUUUUAGAUCCCUGUAUGUAAGAUGGGUGUAAUGAUUGUAUCUAAUUUAUAGGGUUUUGCUGAGGGUUAAAUGAUUUAGACAGAUAAAGUCAGAAGGGCAAAGCUUGAGGAAUUGAUCUAGCACCUUGGAGAGCCAGCUGUGGAGACUCAGAAAGGGCUGGGAAGGGGAGUCCCUGUCAUGGCCCAGUGGAAAUGAAUCUGACUAGCAUCCAUGAGGACACAGGUUCAAUCCCUGGCCUCACUCAGUGGGUUAAGGAUCCCGUGUUGCUGUGAGUUGUGGUAUAGGUCAAAGAGGCACCUUGGAUCUGGUGUUGCUGUGGCUGUGGUGUAGGCCAGCGGCAAUAGCUCCAGUUCGACCCCUAGCCUGGGAACCUCCAUAUGCUGAGGGUACAGCUCUAAAAAUACAAAAAAAAA
rnacentral:lncRNA from 1 species